GACGAACGCUGGCGGCGUGCUUAACACAUGCAAGUCGAACGGAAAGGCCCUGCUUUUGUGGGGUGCUCGAGUGGCGAACGGGUGUGUAACACGUGAGUAACCUGCCCUUGACUUUGGGAUAACUUCAGGAAACUGGGGCUAAUACCGGAUAGGAGCUCCUGCUGCAUGGUGGGGGUUGGAAAGUUUCGGCGGUUGGGGAUGGACUCGCGGCUUAUCAGCUUGUUUGUGGGGUAGUGGCUUACCAAGGCUUUGACGGGUAGCCGGCCUGAGAGGGUGACCGGCCACAUGGGGACUGAGAGACGGCCCAGACUCCUACGGGAGGCAGCAGGGGGGAGUAUUGCACAAUGGGCGGAAGCCUGAGGCAGCAACGCCGGGUGCGGGAUGACGGCCUUCGGGUGGUAAACCGCUGUCGCCUGUGACGAAGCGUGAGUGACGGUAAUGGGUAAGGAAGCACCGGCUAACUACGUG
rnacentral:rRNA from 1 species